GUGCCAGCAGCCGCGGUAAUUCCAGCUCCAAUAGCGUAUAUUAAAGUUGUUGCAGUUAAAAAGCUCGUAGUUGGAUCUCGGGUCCGGGCUGGCGGUCCCGUUCGCGCGGGUACUGCCUGUUCCCGACCUACCGGCCGGCACGUCCCUUGGUGCUCUUCACUGAGUGCCUCGGGUGGCCGGCGCGUUUACUUUGAAAAAAUUAGAGUGUUCAAAGCAGGCCGUCGUGCCUGAAUACUGAUGCAUGGAAUAAUGGAAUAGGACCUCGGACUUCUAUUUUGCUGGUUUCUGGAUCUCGAGGUAAUGAUUAAAAGGGACGGCCGGGGGCGUUAGUAUUACGGUGUUAGAGGUGAAAUUCUUGGAUCGCCGUAAGACUCACGGUUGCRAAAGCGUUCGCCAAGAACGUUUUCAUUGAUCAAGAACGAAAGUCAAAGGUUCGAAGAC
rnacentral:rRNA from 1 species